rnacentral:rRNA from 1 species
CCUACGGGAGGCAGCAGUAGGGAAUAUUGCUCAAUGGGGGAAACCCUGAAGCAGCAAAGCAGCGUGGAGGAUGAAGGUUUUAGGAUUGUAAACUCCUUUUGUUAGAGAAGAUAAUGACGGUAUCUAACGAAUAAGCACCGGCUAACUCCGUGCCAGCAGCCGCGGUAAUACGGAGGGUGCAAGCGUUACUCGGAAUUACUGGGCGUAAAGAGCGCGUAGGCGGGUUAGCAAGUCAGAUGUGAAAUCCUAUGGCUUAACCAUAGAACUGCAUUUGAAACUGUUAGUCUAGAGUAUAGUUGAGGUAGGUGGAAUUCUUGGUGUAGGGGUAAAAUCCGUAGAGAUCAAGAGGAAUACUCAUUGCGAAGGCGACCUGCUAGAACAUAACUGACGCUGAUGCGCGAAAGCGUGGGUAUCAAACAGGAUUAGAUACCCUUGUAGUC